rnacentral:rRNA from 1 species
AUUGAACGCUGGCGGCAGGCUUAACACAUGCAAGACGAGCGGGGUGAUGGUGCUUGCACUAUCACUUAGCGGCGGACGGGUGAGUAAUGCUUAGGAAUCUGCCUAUUAGUGGGGGACAACAUCUCGAAAGGGAUGCUAAUACCGCAUACGUCCUACGGGAGAAAGAAGGGGAUCACUUGUGACAUUGCGCUAAUAGAUGAGCCUAAGUCGGAUUAGCUAGUUGGUGGGGUAAAGGCCUACCAAGGCGACGAUCUGUAGCGGGUCUUAGAGGAUGAUCCGCCACACUGGGACUGAGACACGGCCCAGCCUCCUACGGGAGGCAGCAGUGGGGAAUAUUGGACAAUGGGGGGAACCCUGAUCCAGCCAUGCCGCGUGUGUGAAGAAGGCCUUAUGGUUGUAAAGCACUUUAAGCGAGGAGGAGGCUCUUUUGGUUAAUACCCAAGAUGAGUGGACGUUACUCGCAGAAUAAGCACCGGCUAACUCUGAGCCAGCCGCCGCCGUAA